UAGGCAUUGACCUCUAAUAGUUAAGGUUAGGCAUUGACCUCCAAUGGUUAAGGUUAGGCAUUGACCUCUAAUAGUUAAGGUUAGGCAAUGGCCUCCAAUAGUUAAGGAUAGACAUUGACCUCUAACAGUUAAGGUUAUGCAUUGACCUCCAAUAGUUAAGGAUAGGCAUUGACCUCCAAUAGUAA